rnacentral:rRNA from 1 species
CCUACGGGAGGCUGCAGUGAGGAAUAUUGGUCAAUGGGCGCGAGCCUGAACCAGCCAAGUAGCGUGAAGGAUGACUGCCCUACGGGUUGUAAACUUCUUUUAUAAAGGAAUAAAGUGAGGCACGUGUGCCUUUUUGUAUGUACUUUAUGAAUAAGGAUCGGCAAACUCCGUGCCAGCAGCCGCGGUAAUACGGAGGUUCCGAGCGUUAUCCGGAUUUAUUGGGUUUAAAGGGAGCGUAGAUGGGUUGUUAAGUCAGUUGUGAAAGUUUGCGGCUCAACCGUAAAAUUGCAAUUGAUACUGGAGGUUAUGGGGACAGUUGGGGUAGGGGGAAUUCGUGGGGUAGCGGGGAAAUG